UUCGUGGUACAGUUAAUUUCUUAAGUAGUGCACUGGGAUGCUUGAUUUUUUAAUUAAUUAAUCAGGAGCUGUAAUGCACUGAGCUUGCCGGGAUGGUGGGAGUAAUUAAGGAAGAACUGAUGGGUAUGCAGAUUUUGGGUUUACGGCCUCUCACGGGGGUUUGAUUCAUUGAUAUUAAACAGUUCAUAAUCACUUCUUUUCAAUGGGAUUCCGUAUGAAGAUCCGAAAUCACUUUGGAGACAUGUUCAGAUUACUCAUCCCAGUGUUUUUGUGCUAUAUAUGCAGGCAGAGGCAUCCAGUUUUGUGGAGGUCCAGAGGAAGCCAGUGGCAGGGCUGUGGGCAUGAGCCAUUCCUGGUGAUUCCGGAGCCCAUGUUUCCUGUGCAAGGAUGCCUUUCCCUGCAGGUUUAUCAUGCUAACGUUCUUCCUAAGAAGCAUCAAACGCUGCGCUGCUGCUGCUUCCUUCAGAUCUUCGCUCCCUGAAGAUACGUCAUCCCAACACAGUCCCAAAGCCAGAAGUGCGGGGCUCAGAUCCUCACGAAUGUGAUUAUCUUCACUAGUGUGAGUCGCCCCGUUGGGAUUCCUCACCGCAGUGCAGACAAAUGUGUGUAAUUGCAGAAUCGAGGCCUUAGGCUGUGAGAAGUGAGGAAAUCACAGCUUGAGGUGGUCUGUCUGUAGCUCUUUGUGGGAGGUUUUGUGUUAACAGUCGACGAAUUCAAUGUGUCAAACAAAUAAAGCUUUAAAUAUUUAGAGAUUAGGAGGUCCCUGAUAAAAAAUUCAUAGGAAUAAAGGCAAAUUCCCUCAUCCCUAUAGCAGCAUUCGGUUGCACAUCAAAUAGGGAGAAUAACUUGGAUAGAUAGCUAGAUUAGAUAGAUAGAUAGAUAGAUACUUUGUGCUUGGCAUGUCAAGGUUCUAUGAGAAGAGCCAUCGAUGUGUAUAGAAAUGCAUCAGGAGAGACAGAGCUGGGCGGCCUCCCCCACCUAGUGCUUCUAUUUGAGCAUUUUCCUGCUCGGGGAAGCUGUCCCAGGCAAACACUAACCCUUGUUUCUUUAGAGCUGUGUUUCUGGAAGAGGAAAGGUGUAAUCAGCAGACAACCUGCCGUGAUGUGGGAGUUGGCAGCGCCGUCUCCUCCACCUCUCCUCUUGAUGGGGCUCCACAGUGCCGGGAAGAAGGAGUUUGGCUGGAGUACGGUUGGGAAACGCGUGACCAGAGACCCCGUUUGGGCCAUUAACCGCCGUGUCUGAUUCAUUUCCAAGCUGAAUCAUUUUGACA